GCGGAGGUGGCGGAAUGGCAGACGCGCUAGUUUCAGGAGCUAGUGAGUGAUCGUGUGGGUUCAAGUCCCAUCCUCCGCACCA
rnacentral:tRNA from 1 species